UACGUAGGGGGCGAGCGUUGUCCGGAAUUAUUGGGCGUAAAGAGCUCGUAGGCGGCCUGUCGCGUCGGAUGUGAAAGCCCGGGGCUUAACCCCGGGUCUGCAUUCGAUACGGGCAGGCUAGAGUGUGGUAGGGGAGAUCGGAAUUCCUGGUGUAGCGGUGAAAUGCGCAGAUAUCAGGAGGAACACCGGUGGCGAAGGCGGAUCUCUGGGCCAUUACUGACGCUGAGGAGCGAAAGCGUGGGGAGCGAACAGG
rnacentral:rRNA from 1 species